AAACCCUGCCCUUCCUUUCCCUUUACCUCACGCGACCCUCCCCCCUCUCGAAACUCUCUCCCUGCCACACCCCUAGCCGUCGCACGCCUCGCCAGUCGCCAUGCACCUCCAACCGCCACAGCCGUUCACGUAAGCUCUAGAUGACGUCGUGCCGCCUCACCUGAAGGUUUCGAUCGCUCCUCGUCGGGUUAGUCACCGACACCGACUGCCACUAGUCCGUCAUCGUGUCUGGCUGCCGUUCAAACUUAGCCUCGAGUCAUCACUGUCGUCCCUUUGAUUUCCGCAGGAUUCUGGAGAUAGAUUGUGUUUUGGGUUUUUCUUCAAGGUUUCCAAGAGUUUAAUUGGUCGAAUAAAAUAUCUGAAUUUUUCUUCGAGGUAAGGACAAAGACGCACUGGCGAAUGACAAAAGGAAUCCUUGAACGGUCCACUGGGGACCAGUUUUAUGCUUCCGCUCAUGAUGUUUAGAUUCUUACAUUUUUUUUUCAACUUUCAGUUUUGAUGUUUAAAACUUACUAUUAAGAUUUAUUUUCAGACCUAUUUAUUAUCAUUUAUAAUU